GGAUACACUUAGUGGCGGACGGGUGAGUAACGCGUGGGUACCUGCCUCACACUGGGGGAUAACAGUUAGAAAUAGCUGCUAAUACCGCAUAAGUCCGCAUGGAAAAAACUCCGGUGGUGUGAGAUGGACCCGCGUCUGAUUAGCCAGUUGGCGGGGUAACGGCCCACCAAAGCGACGAUCAGUAGCCGGCCUGAGAGGGUGAACGGCCACAUUGGGACUGAGACACGGCCCAAACUCCUACGGGAGGCAGCAGUGGGGAAUAUUGCACAAUGGGGGAAACCCUGAUGCAGCGACGCCGCGUGAGUGAAGAAGUAUUUCGGUAUGUAAAGCUCUAUCAGCAGGGAAGAAGUGACGGUACCUGAAUAAGAAGCCCCGGCUAACUACGUGCCAGCAGCCGCGGUAAUACGUAGGGGGCAAGCGUUAUCCGGAUUUACUGGGUGUAAAGGGAGCGUAGACGGCAAGGCAAGUCUGAAGUGAAAGCCCGGUGCUUAACGCCGGGACUGCUUUGGAAACUGUUUAGCUGGAGUGCCGGAGAGGUAAGCGGAAUUCCUAGUGUAGCGGUGAAAUGCGUGGAUAUUAGGAAGAACACCAGUGGCGAAGGCGGCUUACUGGACGGUAA
rnacentral:rRNA from 1 species